AAAAAUAUUACAAAUUGUAAACAUAUAUGAUGACAUAAAAGCAAAAAAAAAAAGAAAAAGAAUACAAAUCAAAAGGCUUACAAGAGGAAACUAAAGUCCAAGAUGAGAGGUCUAUUAAUGAAAUUGUCACCAAAGGAAGAACAUAGAAUAAUCUAUCUCCAGCUCAAGACACUGUCAUGAACUUAAAUGAAAGCACGUACCUAGAACCAAUUAUUUGAUAACACCAACUAAAUGAGCAAACAAAAGAGCAUAAACAUAAACCUAGAACCAAUUAUUUUGUGUCACCAAUCCGUUGUAAUGCUAAUGAGAAGUGAAUAAGCAGCAAAAGGGUCACAUUUUUAUCUUAAAAACCAACAGAUCAAACACAAAUUUGAACAUAAACCAAAGCCCAGAAACUCUAUACGAAACCAAGAGAGAGGAGAGAAAGAAAAAAGGAAAAAAACUUAUUUUGUUUUAUUGGUCCUCCAAUGAUAUAGUGCCACGUCAGCGAACCUUACUCACCCAAAAAUACCUUAUUUAAGGUUCGCACCUUGGUUAAUUAGACAAUUUUAAUUUAUUUUUUUGCUUCUUUUCAUUAGGAUUCUCUUAAGAAACUUGUAAGGUCUCUGCAAUGGACAUGCUCUUAGGAAACACUAUUAAUCGAAAAGCCAUGUGAUACAU
rnacentral:sRNA from 1 species